GUUGCGCUAUAAAUCCAGCACCAUAUAACAUCCUGUCAAUCUAAAUUUCUGAAGUGUUACAUUAGAAGUCUAUAUGUCGGAGAAGCAAUAGUCGAACGGAAAUUUUCUUUUCAUUAUUUUCUGCAGGUUUUACUUUUCCGUCUUCAGUUAUUCUCCCUUUUCUUGGAACAUGAAUCAGAAAUAGCUAGCAUCUUCAACAUCAACAAUCCAAUGGUUGAUUGAGGAAUUCAAGAUGUGCUAAGGUGAAGAAUAGGAGUGAAAUUUGGAAACUUUUUGGUCUUGUGUAAGGUUUUCAGAGCCUUACUAUUAUGGUCUCAUUUUUGUUUUAGAUAUAAUAUGCUAUCAAUUGGUGUUUUGGUUUUUCGUCCGAAACUUAAGCCAAUAUGCUUCUGCUCUCUCACAGAUUUUAUUGAUAGAAGUUUGCCUUCACUAAAAACUUAAUCUUGAGUAGCACUCUUACUUGGUGUAAAGGCCAAAGUUUUUUUGUCUU